CAAUUAUGCGAUUAUUGUUUAUUGAAAAAAAAAAAAAAAAAAAAAAAGCACUCGGAGAAAUUUCAAUGUACCCGUGUAUUUUGUUAUUUGUUCAAGACUAGAAAUUGUUCGGUUUUUUUUCCCCUCUUCUUGCCCGCAGCUACAGAAAUAACGUUAUUAUUAUUCAUCGAUGAAAAUCCGCGUCAUACCGUGCAGUAUAGUCGUAAUUUUUGGAAAGAAAAAUAAAUAGUAAUAAAAAAAAAAUCGAAUAAUAUAAUUAUCGCGAUAUAAACACGCUAUUUGCCCGUAACGGCGUUUUCUUUUAUUCGGUAUAUAGGGACGGCCACAGAAUUUUAAUAUUCUAAUCGGAAGCGUAAUCCGAAAAAAUUACCGCUGCGAUAAUGACGCAUUGAUCUUAAAGGUAGAAAAAAAACAACCAAUUAAGAAUACGAAGGAUAACGUUUGCCCCUCCCCUUUUUUAAUAGCGAAUCGACUAAUUUACACUCCGAACGUCCUUAAGAAAUCGUUGUAGC